GUAAUCGCAGGUCAGCAUACUGCGGUGAAUACGUUCCCGGGUCUUGUACACACCGCCCGUCACACCAUGGGAGUCAGUAACACCCGAAGCCGGUGACCUAACCGAAAGGAAGGAGCCGUCGAAGGUGGGACCGAUAACUGGGGUGAAGUCGUAACAAGGUAGCCGUAUCGGAAGGUGCGGCUGGAUCACCUCCUUUCUAAGGAA
rnacentral:rRNA from 1 species